GACGAACGCUGGCGGCGUGCCUAAUACAUGCAAGUUGAGCGCUGAAGGUUGGUACUUGUACCAACUGGAUGAGCAGCGAACGGGUGAGUAACGCGUGGGGAAUCUGCCUUUGAGCGGGGGACAACAUUUGGAAACGAAUGCUAAUACCGCAUAAAAACUUUAAACACAAGUUUUAAGUUUGAAAGAUGCAAUUGCAUCACUCAAAGAUGAUCCCGCGUUGUAUUAGCUAGUUGGUGAGGUAAAGGCUCACCAAGGCGAGGAUACAUAGCCGACCUGAGAGGGUGAUCGGCCACACUGGGAGUGAGACACGGCCAAAACUACUACGGGAGGCAGCAGUAGGGAAUCUUCGGCGAUGGACGAAAGUCUGACCGAGCAACGCCGCGUGAGUGAAGAAGGUUUUCGGAUCGUAAAACUCUGUUGGUAGAGAAGAACGUUGGUGAGAGUGGAAAGCUCAUCAAGUGACGGUAACUACCCAGAAAGGGACGGCUAACUACGUG
rnacentral:rRNA from 1 species